CAAUCACCAGCCCUUCCGGCAGCCAGGCGGCCGCAGCGGAAAGCCAGGGCUGAACCCAGAAGGGGCGCUUGGCGCGCCCCGCCUACCCCUGGCGCGUCCUGCGACUCAGGUGCUCCCGAGAGCCUGGGCGGGCCCCGCUGUCGCGGCCGACCGUCCCCUCCCAGAGCCGAGGGCCAGAGGGAAACGCCGGCUUCACCCGGAAGCUCGGGAAGAGCUAGACUCGGCCCCGGCGCGCCGCUUUCCACUGCCACAGACAAAAAACACCUCAGUUGACUGUCUAGAGUUGAAGCCCUUGAUUUAGAAGGUUUCUAAAGUCCUAUUUGGAGGCUGGAAAUGACGCAAAACACAGAGCAUUCAAGUGCGGAGGAGCUGCCACAGAACACAAAUGGACUUCCUUGGUUGUCCAGUGGUUAAGAAUCUGCCCGCCCAUUCAGGAGACAUGGAUUCAGUCCUAUCUCGGAAGACCCCACAUGCCAAGGAGCAACUAGACCCAUGGGCCACAAGUACUGAACCUGCAAUUUAGAGCCCUCGAGCUGCAAUUUCAGUAUCCCACACACCUAGAGUCCUUGCUUCCCAGCAAGAGAAGCUACUGCAAAGAGAAGCCCGCACACCGCAACUGGAGAGUAGCCCCUGCUCUGCCCAUAACUAGAGAAAGCCUUCGCACAUCAAUGAAGACCCAGCACAGCCAAAAAUAAAUAAAUAUAGAUUUUAAAAAGGAAUUAUGUGCUUCAGUUUUAACUGCAUCACAUUCUAAAAUUCAUUUCCCAGAUUACCUGGUGGCGGAAAUUCUUGUGAGUCAAAAUAAAAGCCCUGUUCUUCUUAGCACUUAAAUCAUUUUCUGGUGGUGAUUUCUGCUCUGAGAAGCCAGUUCAUCUAAUUUCAGGACUGUUCUGUGCCAGGAAAUAACUUGGGUUAAGGCAAGAACAGAGCCUGUUAUCAGAUAGUAUCACUGGAAGAAUAUACCAGAGAAACGGGUGACAGUAAUUGCCCUUGGACAGGGCAACAUGGGAAACAGGUUACUAAGUCAUGUCCGACUCUUUGCAACUCCAUGGACUGUAGCACACCAGGCUCCUUUGUUUUCCACUAUCUCCCAGAGUUUGCUCAAAUUAAUGUCCUCUGAGUCAGUGAUGCUCACUGGCAAUACUAUCUGUACAUAUCUGGUAUUUAUUUGAGAGAGAAGGGAGCAAGAUAGUGCAGUAGUAUGAGUUUGCAGCCAAUACAAGCUACCACCUUCCUCUGGCCCCAGGUUGCCUUCCUCAGCUUUCACCCUUACUGGGUAUAGCAGCUCAAAGGUGCCUUUGCCAACACACACUGAAUCGUGAAAGACAAGAAGACCCAGCAGCAGGAUUUUUGCUGAGUGUGUGGCAAGGCAUGAAACCUAAGGCUGGACUAGAUGUCAAAGACAAGAUCUUGUGGUACAUAGGUCAAAACAUACUUCUUGAAUCUUCUAAUUUGCAUACAAUUCAUCUUUCCCUCAAGACGUUUGAAACAAGAAAUGAAAACUAAUUAAAGAUGUAAACUAUCCUGGACCGCCUCAACUAUUGUUUGGACCAAAGUGAUCAGGUCCUUGUCCUUCUUGCCUAACAGAAGAAAGGGUGUGUCUUCUAGGGGAGAGGAGGUAGUAUUUACUCCAAUAUCUAUGGUCUUUUAAAACAUUGUCUGGAUAACGUCAAUUAAAAGACUUGAGAAGAAACAGGGCUGCUGCUGCUGCUAAGUCGCUUCAGUCAUGUCCGACUCUGUGCGACCCCAUAGACGGCAGCCCACUAAGCUCCCCCGUCCCUGGGAUUCUCCAGGCAAGAACACUGGAGUGGGUUGCCAUUUCCUUCUCCAAUGCUUGGAAGUGAAAAGUGAAAGUGAAGUUGCUCAGUCGUCUCCGACUCAUAGCGACCCCAUGGACUGCAGCCCACCAGGCUCCUCCGUCCAUGGGAUUUUCCAGGCAAGAGUACUGGAGUGGGGUGCCAUCGCCUUCUAAAAUCAAGAGGAAAAAAAUCAAUAGAAAAUAGAAGCAGAUCUAUAGACGACCCAGAUGUUGAAUUAAGAUGGAAGAACUUUAAUAUAACUAUUGUAAAUACAUUAAAAUUAUUUGAUGAACAGAAUGAAUGAAAGAAAUUUUUAAACAAAGAAAUGAAUCUCUAAAAAGAACGAACAAAAUGGAACUACAGACAUAAAAUGUGAAUAUUUAAAUAUAGCUCAGUAAAUUUAUAGCCAUUAUUUCCCAAUCACCUUGAUUCAAUAUGUGAAACAUUUUGGUAUAGCUGAUAGAGACUUGAGAAACACCUUGAUCUGGUUAGCAACAUAACACUGUAGCUCUAAAGUGUAUCAUUUUCUCAGCAGAUUUGUUUCAUUAUCUUUUUGUUGAAAAAUGUUUAACCUUUUGCAAAAAUUCUGUGAAUGCACUCUAUUUUGGACUCCUGAUCUCCUAUAUACUGUCACCAUGUAGAAAAUUUCAGAGAAAGUUCUAUUACAAACACAAGUAACUGUUCAUUUUUAAAAUUGUUUUGACAUUUACAGAUUAAUACAGAAAAAUCAACUGCCCUAUGAUCUUGGAGGAGCCAGGGUUUUCAUAUGCUCCUGUUUACUCCUUUCCUUUUAAAUCAAAGAAAAAUUCUGAUUGUAAAACAUUUUACAUGGUCUUACUUUCACCAUCCUUGAUAUAUCUUUACUCUCCCUGCUACAAUUCCAAGGCCUUAACAAUUUCAACCUUCUCUAAGAAUAUCUGCCUCUGAACCAGAAUUGUAACACAAUGCCUCAGAUAAUUCAUUCUAUACCUUUUAUGAUAUGC
ensembl:lncRNA